AUUGAACGCUGGCGGCAGGCCUAACACAUGCAAGUCGAGCGGAAGAGAAGAGCUUGCUCUUCGAUUCAGCGGCGGACGGGUGAGUAAUGCCUAGGAAUCUGCCUGGUAGUGGGGGACAACGUUUCGAAAGGAACGCUAAUACCGCAUACGUCCUACGGGAGAAAGCAGGGGACCUUCGGGCCUUGCGCUAUCAGAUGAGCCUAGGUCGGAUUAGCUAGUUGGUGAGGUAAUGGCUCACCAAGGCGACUAUCCGUAACUGGUCUGAGAGGAUGAACAGGCACACUGGCACUGACACACGGUCCAGACUCCUACGGGAGGUAAGAGUGGGGAAUGUUGGACAAGGGGAGAAAGCCUGAUCGAGCCAUGCCGCGUGUGGGAAGCAGGUCUUCGGAUUGUAAAGCAAUUGUAGUUGGGAGGAAGGGCAGUUAGUUAAGACCUUGCUUUUCUGACGUUACCGACAGAAUAAGCACCGGCUAACUCUGUGCCAGCCGCCGCCGUAACAC
rnacentral:rRNA from 1 species